GGGGGUUAUAAUGCCAAAGUUACACUGAUGAUGUAUCCCCGAUGGGGGUUACAACGUCGAAGUUACGAACUGAUGACGUAUCCCCGGCGGGGGUUACAACGCCGAAGUUAUGAAUUAAAAAUGUAUCCCCGGCGGGGGUCACAACGUAGAAAUUUCAAACAUCCACGUAUCCCCAGCGGGGGUUACAACGCAUUCUCAACCAUUGAUACACAUAUCAAUGAAGGUCAAUCAACCUUGACGUUAUCUCAGCUGGUGGCAAGUAAACCCAUCAAAGUAACUUAUCCAUGCCUAUGUAUCCCCGGCGGGGGUUACAACGCCAAAGUCAGACAUUGACAAAGUAUCCCCGGUGGGGUCCACAAUGCAAUGCAACCGUUGAUACACACAUCAAUGAAGGUCAAGCAUAUUUGACAAUGCACCCAGUAGGGAUCUAUCCGGUGAUACAUACAUCAGCGAAGGUCAUGCAGUCCUGACGAUACAUACUGUUGGCAGUAACUCCAACAGGACCGUGGUAUAUGCUGGUGAUACAAGCCAGAGAAGACCAUCCUCAUCGGAGAGGACCGAUGAUGGAAUAUGUUAUACACAUCCUCAAACAAACAAAGCUUUAUCCCCACAAAUCUCUUGCACACGAGAGGCAUAUGCAGAAUAAAGUCCGUGUUUAGGAUUCAGGACUUUGGUGAUAGCCCCAACGUCAAACAUCCUUGAAGACUUGGAUCGCAUGCCCAAGACAUCAUUGAUUGUCAUCCCAACAGGAUUAACAGGGAACCGAUAAUCAUUCCAUCAUACAUCAUACAUUUUGCAUCAUGUUGCUGCACAUAACAUCAUGUUUAUCUUGUUGCAUUUCAAGUGUCUAGAAUUCUUUAUCCAAUCCCUGCCUUGCAUUGUAUGAAUAUGAUAAAGAGAGGCAUUUGUAGACACUCGAAAUUUUUUGUACACCUGUUACUAACAUUGUAGGAGGGCAAAUUCAUCUUUCAGAGAUAACCCUGGAAGAUAGCUCACAUCCAUUCCGGAUACUACCGGAGGUUCAGUCUAUACCCCGGAACACACACCGAGAGUAUCAUUUCCAACCUCGGAGAUAAACCCCGAGUUUUGCCCUUGGAGAUAACCCCAAGGAAUGUUGUUGCAGUUCCGGCGAUAACUCCGAAAAUACUUGUUUUAAAUGCAUGCGAUCAGCUUCAAUCUUAGACCUCCUGCCGAGGCACUCAUUCCUCAGACCCGGAGCUAACACCGGGAAGACAGGCACACUUAUAGAUGACCUUGUGGCAUUCAAACACUUUCAACAGUCCAAUCUCAGAUGUAACCCUGAGCGACGUCUGCUAUCAGCUCAAAUCGGAGAUAACCCCAGUGAGGAGUCAAACUGUCAUCUUGCCACCUCAACACCAG
rnacentral:lncRNA from 1 species